GAUGAACGCUGGCGGCGUGCCUAAUACAUGCAAGUCGAGCGAACGGACGAGAAGCUUGCUUCUCUGAUGUUAGCGGCGGACGGGUGAGUAACACGUGGAUAACCUACCUAUAAGACUGGGAUAACUUCGGGAAACCGGAGCUAAUACCGGAUAAUAUUUUGAACCGCAUGGUUCAAAAGUGAAAGACGGUCUUGCUGUCACUUAUAGAUGGAUCCGCGCUGCAUUAGCUAGUUGGUAAGGUAACGGCUUACCAAGGCAACGAUGCAUAGCCGACCUGAGAGGGUGAUCGGCCACACUGGAACUGAGACACGGUCCAGACUCCUACGGGAGGCAGCAGUAGGGAAUCUUCCGCAAUGGGCGAAAGCCUGACGGAGCAACGCCGCCUGAGUGAUGAAGGUCUUCGGAUCGUAAAACUCUGUUAUUAGGGAAGAACAUAUGUGUAAGUAACUGUGCACAUCUUGACGGUACCUAAUCAGAAAGCCACGGCUAACUACGUG
rnacentral:rRNA from 1 species